rnacentral:rRNA from 1 species
UGCCAGCAGCCGCGGUAAUACAGAGGGUGCAAGCGUUAAUCGGAAUUACUGGGCGUAAGCGCGCGUAGGUGGUUCAGUAAGAUGGAAGUGAAAUCCCCGGGCUUAACCUGGGAACUGCUUUCAUAACUGCUGAGCUAGAGUACGGUAGAGGGUAGUGGAAUUUCCUGUGUAGCGGUGAAAUGCGUAGAUAUAGGAAGGAACACCAGUGGCGAAGGCGACUACCUGGACUGAUACUGACACUGAGGUGCGAAAGCGUGGGGAGCAAACAGGAUUAGAUA